UCUCAAGUGUGAUUGGUUGAGAAAGAAAGAUGUCUCAAGUGUGAUUGGUUGAGAAAGAAAGAUGUCUCAAGCUUGACGGAAAUGAACCACCGUAUGAGUAGUGUGUGCGAGAGCCUAAUCUGUCGUCUUCAAGCUACUAACAUGGCCAUUAAACAUAAGUCCAUUGAAUAUUCAGCGUCGUAAAGGCUUUCCUUUACGUUUAAGUGGGAUGGAUCCGUCGCAGAGGAGUGACGGUGAAUGGCAGGGAAUGGUCAACGAGUUCCUCAUUUGUAAGCGCAAGUUGGAGAGCAAGAAGGAAGCGCUCCUGAUCCUGUCCAAGGAGCUGGACACGUGCCAGCAGGAGAGGGAUCAGUACCAGCUGAUGGCCAAUCAGCUUCGAGAGCGCCACCAAGGACUCAAGAAGAAGUACAGAGAACUCCUCGAUGGAGAUCUGUCUCUGCCCCCUGAAAAACGCAACCAAGUGAAUGUAGCUCAGCUCCUGAGAAACUCCAAAGAAAAAAGCAAUGAUCUCUGUGAGGAGAUGAAGGAGCUGAAACAACGGCUGGCAGAAGCACAGGGAGACAACAAGCUGUUACGAAUGACCAUCACCAAGCAAAGGCUGGGAGAUGAGGAGGUGGGAGCUCGCCACUUCCCGGCACACGAGCGCGAGGACCUGGUCCACCAGCUGGAGAGAGCCAGAGAGCAGAACCAGGUGCUGGAGCACAGUGUGAAAUCUCUCAGCGACGAGCUGCAGGACGUACGGGCGGAGCGCCACGUGUUCCAGCAGAAAGCUCACCGCCUCAACGUGGAGAUGAACCACAUCGUUGGCAACGACGCCGUGCGGAUGGUGGACAUCGACGCACUCUGCAUGGAGAACAGAUAUUUGCACGAUCGCCUGUGUCAACUUUCGGAAGAGGUCGCCUUGCUCAAAACUAAUCUGGGCAAAUACAAGAGUGCAUUGGAGUGCAGGAAGAACACCAAAGCGUGUGGGAAGACUAACAGUAGUGCACUCACUGGAGUGCUCUCAGCUAAACAAGUGAAGGAGCUGCUGUCUGAGGAAAGCGGCUGCACGUUGCCCGUUACUUCCCAGUCCAUCUCGGACCUCAAGUCUCUGGCCACGGCUCUCCUAGAAACCAUCCACGAGAAGAACAUGCUGAUUCAGCACCAGCGGCAAACUAACAAAGUGCUUGGAAGUCGAGUUGCAGAACUGGAAAAAAAGCUUAAAACUUUGGAGACGUCUGGAGUGUGGAGCCUGCCAGGCCUGACUUACCACGUGUCUGUGGGCAUUUGUGGAAAGCGGAAAGACCUGCAAGCAAGCCACACCACAGGAGAGUCAGAGAAGAAGGCUUCAUCAGGUGUGCCAACACCAGCACUUCCUGGGACGCCGCCACCACCUUCGUCAUCAUCAUCAUCAUCAUCGUCCUCAUGGGAGGAGCCAGUGGAGCAUCAGACAAGUAGGGAGGAGCCUCCUGAAGCUGUUGCCAUGUAAUCAGGGAAAGCCUUUCAUCAGAGCGUGGGACCACACCGUACAAGAGUACAGAUGUCAUCGGCGUUUGAACCUGACAUCUUCUUGGUCCUUCGAGCCGGAUUCCAACACGUCCGACGAUUCCAGCAGGGUGAGUGAAACCAGGAGACCGUGGCAAAGAUCUCCCGAUUGAGGAACUGCUUUUCUUCACCCCGGCUGGAAUCUGAAGAUUGACGGGAACGCCGAGGACAAGAGGACGGAACGCAGAGUUCAGUGAGUACGUUUUGAGUUACAAAGAAAGAGCGCGGUGGAAGAGCGUGCACGAGUACAGCCCAGUGAGCUCAAUUGAAUCCUGUCUCUGUUUAAUUCCUUGCUUCUUGUCUGUUUAAUAGAUGUCAUCGGUGUUUGCACCUGACAAAAAUAUUUCGUAAUUAAUGUCAAAAUAUUGAUUUCUUUUAAAGUUCGGUGGGUGCGGCUUAAAAAAAACGGUGCGCUCUAUAGCCCGAAAAGUAUGGUCGUUGAAUGUCCAUCACUUGUAGCAAAAAACAACAACCUCUAU